GAGUCUCAGAGACUGUUGACUUGGAAGCUUCAGACCUGCCGUCUAGUCUAAACCCAGCGUUGCCACUUAAUGAACCAUGUCACUGGAUGCCGGGGUCACUUCAUUUCCCUAAUUCUUCUCUUUAAAGGAGGUUGAGAGAGAAAACGGAGGAGAUGAACCAUAACCUGGGUCUCCAAUUUAGGGGAAAGCAAGAAGGACAAACGAAUGAUAUGAGGACUGACAGCCAUUGGCUUCCAAGACCAUUUGUAUGGGGACCAGAGGAGACUGGAUCCAGUUGGGAGACAAGGCAGAGCCAUCAUCAUGUCCAUGAAAUUACAGCGAAGAAGUAAAACAACGUGCUUCGAGUUACAGAGCAGCAGUCCCUCGGCUCCAUUUAGAGAAGCAGUACAUGGGCAGAGCCGUGCUUCCAAGGGAUGCGGUCCACAGCCCGUUCUGCAGAUGGGCUCCACUUGCUUCCUGGGGGUGCCACUUCAAAAGCUGCCAUUGUGGAGCAGUUCCAGUUUCUGCAGUCUCACAGGACCCUGGAGAGCCAGCCUUGACCUGUUGUUAACUGAGGAGGCUUCUCACGGAAGAAGCUGCUUGACAUUCCGCAGGAAGAAAUGUGGAAUCCCGCAGAAAAACACAGCACCUUUGAGAUCACCCUCAGCAAGGUGGAUGGAAACUCCAGAGGAGAACUGGAAAGGCCAGUGUGACAGCCAACUCGGGCCUCUGGGAGGGGCCUCAAGGA
rnacentral:lncRNA from 1 species